rnacentral:rRNA from 1 species
AGGCUUUGAUCCUGGCUCAGAUUGAACGCUGGCGGCAUGCUUUACACAUGCAAGUCGAACGGUAACAGGCCGCAAGGUGCUGACGAGUGGCGAACGGGUGAGUAAUGCAUCGGAACGUGCCCAGUCGUGGGGGAUAACGCAGCGAAAGCUGUGCUAAUACCGCAUACGAUCUGUGGAUGAAAGCGGGGGACCGAAAGGCCUCGCGCGAUUGGAGCGGCCGAUGUCAGAUUAGGUAGUUGGUGGGGUAAAGGCUCACCAAGCCGACGAUCUGUAGCUGGUCUGAGAGGACGACCAGCCACACUGGGACUGAGACACGGCCCAGACUCCUACGGGAGGCAGCAGUGGGGAAUUUUGGACAAUGGGCGCAAGCCUGAUCCAGCAAUGCCGCGUGCAGGAAGAAGGCCUUCGGGUUGUAAACUGCUUUUGUACGGAACGAAAAGGUCUGGGUUAACACCCCGGGCUGAUGACGGUACCGUAAGAAUAAGCACCGGCGUA